rnacentral:rRNA from 1 species
CCGUUUGAUUGACACUCUGUGUUGAUUUUACAAACAAUAUGUAAAGAAAGUCAAGUUAUUAUAACAAAAAAUAACUUUCAACAACGGAUCUCUUGGCUCUCGCAUCGAUGAAGAACGCAGCGAAAUGCGAUAAGUAAUGUGAAUUGCAGAAUUCAGUGAAUCAUCGAAUCUUUGAACGCAACUUGCGCUCUCUGGUAUUCCGGAGAGCAUGCCUGUUUGAGUGUCAUGAAAUCUCAACCAUUAGGGUUUCUUAAUGGCUUGGAUUUGGGUGUUGCCAGUCUCUGGCUCGCCUUAAAGGAGUUAGCGAGUUUAACAAUGUCGUCUGGCGUAAUAAGUUUCGCUGGUAAGACUUGUGAAGUUUGCUUCUAUCGUCUUCGGACAUUACUUUGACUCUGGCCUCAAUCAGGUAGGACUACCCGCUGAACUUAAGCAUAUCAAUAAGCGG